rnacentral:lncRNA from 1 species
GUGGCAUGGGUUCUAAAGAAGAAAAGAGAUAGAGGAUCUCUUCUUCUUCCUCUCCCUCCUCUUGUUCUCCAUCAUCUCUGAGAGGAUCUAAGAGAAAACAAUGGAAAAGAUUUUUAUCAACCAUCAGGAGAUAACUUCUAUAAGGAAGCUAGCACCCCAGUGAAGUCAGGAGCCUUUGAUCGAAUUUGAGGACUUUGUGUAGAUACCUAUAAAAGCUG